rnacentral:rRNA from 1 species
UACGUAGGGUGCGAGCGUUGUCCGGAAUUAUUGGGCGUAAAGAGCUCGUAGGCGGUGUGUCGCGUCGGUCGUGAAAACUUGGGGCUUAACCCUGAGCUUGCGGUCGAUACGGGCAUCACUGGAGUUCGGCAGGGGAGACUGGAAUUCCUGGUGUAGCGGUGAAAUGCGUAGAUAUCUGGAGGAACACCGGUGGCGAAGGCGGCGUUCUGGACUGUUUCUGACACUGUAAAACGAAAGCCAGGGGAGCAAACGGG